GCAUCAAUAGCUCAGCGGCAGAGCGCAGGAUUGCAGUGAACAACAUUGCUAUUAUCCCGAGGUCCCCGGUUCAAUCCCGGGUUGGUGCU
rnacentral:tRNA from 1 species